rnacentral:miRNA from 1 species
AAUCAGAACUCACAAGUCCCGA